GAUGAACGCUAGCGGGAGGCCUAACACAUGCAAGCCGAGCGGUAUUUGUCCUUCGGGACAGAGAGAGCGGCGUACGGGUGCGGAACACGUGUGCAACCUGCCUUUAUCUGGGGGAUAGCCUUUCGAAAGGAAGAUUAAUACCCCAUAAUAUAUCGAAUGGCAUCAUUCGAUAUUGAAAACUCCGGUGGAUAGAGAUGGGCACGCGCAAGAUUAGAUAGUUGGUGAGGUAACGGCUCACCAAGUCAGUGAUCUUUAGGGGGCCUGAGAGGGUGAUCCCCCACACUGGUACUGAGACACGGACCAGACUCCUACGGGAGGCAGCAGUGAGGAAUAUUGGACAGUGGGUGAGAGCCUGAUCCAGCCAUCCCGCGUGAAGGACUAAGGCCCUAUGGGUUGUAAACUUCUUUUAUACUGGGAUAAACCUACUUACGUGUAAGUAGCUGAAGGUACAGUAUGAAUAAGCACCGGCUAACUCCGUG
rnacentral:rRNA from 1 species